GAUGAACGCUAGCUACAGGCUUAACACAUGCAAGUCGAGGGGAAACGGCAUUUAGUGCUUGCACUGAAUGGACGUCGACCGGCGCACGGGUGAGUAACGCGUAUCCAACCUACCCAUUACUGUGGGAUAACCUGCCGAAAGGCAGACUAAUACCGCAUGGUCUUCGAUGACGGCAUCAGAUUUGAAGUAAAGAUUUAUCGGUAAUGGAUGGGGAUGCGUCUGAUUAGCUUGUUGGCGGGGUAACGGCCCACCAAGGCAACGAUCAGUAGGGGUUCUGAGAGGAAGGUCCCCCACAUUGGAACUGAGACACGGUCCAAACUCCUACGGGAGGCAGCAGUGAGGAAUAUUGGUCAAUGGACGAGAGUCUGAACCAGCCAAGUAGCGUGCAGGAUGACGGCCCUAUGGGUUGUAAACUGCUUUUGUAUGGGGAUAAAGUCAAUCACGUGUGAUUGUUUGCAGGUACCAUACGAAUAAGGACCGGCUAAUUCCGUGCCAGCAGCCGCGGGUAAUACGGAAGGUUCGGGCGUUAUCCGGAUUUAUUGGGUUUAAAGGGAGCGUAGGCCGGAAAUUAAGUGUGUUGUAAAAUGUAGACGCUCAACGUCUGACUUUGCAACGCAACUGGUUUCCUU
rnacentral:rRNA from 1 species